GUAACAGGUCAUUCGUGCUGCACAGUCAACGCAGUCGUACAUCUAUCUCUUCAUGUCACGCCCACACCGGUAGCGACAGCUGACUCAGGCAUUAGGUUUUGCAUAUAAGUGAAUCGCAAGCAAGUUUUCUGCAGAACAUCUGGACACGACCACUCACACACGCCUGCACUGACUGAGGAUUCCUUCGUUAAACAGCAAACCUACUUUUCUUAAUACAAACUUGAACGCAGAAAUGGCCAUUCUAAGCUCAACAGUAGUCUUCUGUCUUGCAAUGGGAUCAUUUGCAGUAAUAGAUGCCUUCGAUUUAAUGGAGCAUGCAAUGAAAAAAGUUGACACUUCUGCUCUUAAUAAAGGCAUUCCUGAUGUUUUUCCGUGCAAGGGUCCUUCAAGAUAUUCACUUGAUGAGGCUAAUACGAAAAUGCUUUGCGGUGGAAGACUAUGCUUGGUACAAUGCAAAACUGGUUACAAGUCGUUCACAAAGAUUCCAUUUGUUUAUGUAUGUCAUGGUGACGGCUUGUGGACAUCAAUACCAUUUAGCAAGGCUGUCGAGGGCUAUUCGAUCAAGUGGCCAAUUUGCUUCUUUAAUGAUGGAUUUUGAAUCAGCUUGCAUUUAGAUUCUCCAAAUUAAAGAACAUUUUAACCGUAUCGAAGUAAACUUAUGUAGAGAUUGUAACUAAAAGGGCAAAGGCAUCGUUUAUGUAAUUUUAUUGUACAUAUUAACCAUAUUCAGUUGCAAUUAUCCAAACAAAUUGUUAAUUUUAUCUGUUAAAUGAGAUUGUACCUAAGACACGAACACGAUUGUUGGAAGUCAAGACAUUUAUCAAUUGUUUCAUCUAAAGCAAA